GUUUAUUACUUCAGAGCGCUUUCAUUCAUUCAAUCGAUAUCCCCCCCCUACAAAGGGGAUAUGCUCUAGCUGCUUUCACUUACCUUCCUCCCCAUACCCACCUUUGUUGCCGUUUAAGGGAAAGUGUCGGACGUGAACGUCACCCCCUCAAACUCAUCAAUGCUUCGUCUGAAAUCACUGUUUAUAAUAGCAGGAGAUAUAGAAUCGGUAAUGUCACUUCCUUUGAUCAAUUUGGCCAUAAUGUUAGAAACAUCCAGACAUCCAGAGAAACUUGCUUUAUUUAUUUAUCCUCUAACAAAUGAUGCUGCUUGCAAUUUUUUAAAACUUCCUUGGUUAUUUUGACGAGUUUUGAUUUCCAACCUAUCGUUAGUUUCCCUGGAAAGAUCGGAGAUUGAAUUCGAAGAAUGCAGUGAUUGGCUUUACAAAAUGAAUCAACUUUUGAUUCAGAUAUAUGCAAUCAUUGAACGUUCUGGCUAAUGGUUCGAUUCUCAUCAUUGCGUUCAAAUCAAGUGAAAGUUUGGAAAUUGUUGAAUUCCCAUGUUGCUUCUUGGUUUACAAUUUUUUUUACUUUAUUGAUUUCGAUUUUUUUGAUUAAGAAAAACAUUACUACUCAAUUUCAAAAAGGGCUAGGUUUUGUUCAAAUAGCUCCUAGGUGAAACAUACCUUAUCCUCCUCGGAUGGUCUAGCAUAGGGGUAUCACCCGAAUUCUAUUUUUUUUAUUUUGUAUCGAGUGACGUCCGUUCCUUCUUGGAUUUCAUCUUGGAUGGAGGAUAAAUGUCGUUUUCACAUCUUGGAUUCCGUGCUGGAGUUCAGAUAAAAUAGGUGUUCUUUUCAAUGAAUAAAAUCAGUGACGUCCAAGAGUAGAGAAAUCAAGUUUGUCAAAUUGUGUCAAAGGAGUGGGUAUAUUUGAGAUCUAUAUUUAGAAAAUCACAGUUGUUAAAGAGUAUUACAUGAUUUUAAAAGACUUUCCAAUCCAUUGCUUUAUGAAUCAUAUUUGAUGUAUAAAUGUUUGUUCUUUAGGCACUUCUUUAGGAAGUUGACCAAUGUCCAGAAGCAAUUUUGGGUAUGUUAAGGAAUAAACCCGUACAUUAAAUAGAUUCAGAUUGGAAGUUUUUGAAUCUUAAGUGUGUAUUCUUGCUUUUGUGUACUUGCUGUCUUUGGUUUGAUGGAGACGUAUGAAGUGGGAAUGAAGGUGAUUGGGACCAUUUUGGAGGUUGGACUGUUAGAGAUAGAUUGAAUUUGAGAGUCUCUCCCUUUUUU
rnacentral:telomerase_RNA from 1 species